rnacentral:rRNA from 1 species
GAUGAACGCUGGCGGCGUGCCUAAUACAUGCAAGUCGAGCGAACAGACGAGGCUCUUGCUCCUCGCACGUUAGCCGCACAGGUGUGUGACACACGUGGAUAACCUACCUAUCAUACUGGUAUAUCUUCGGGAAACCGGCGCUAAUACCGUAUAAUCUAUUGAAGCACAUGGUUCAUUAGUGAAAUUCGGUUUUGCUGGCUCUUCUAGCUGGAUCUGCGCCGCAUUAGCUAGUUGGUAAGGUAACGGCUUACCAAGGCAACGAUGCGUGUACGAACUGAGAGAGUGAUCGGCCACAUGGGAGCGGAGACACGGUCAAGAGUCCUAAGGGAGGCAGCAGUAGGGAAUCGUCCGCAGUAGGCGAAAGUAUGACGGAACAACGCGGAGUGAGAGAUGACGAUGUUCGGUGCAGAAAACUCUGUUAUUAGGGAAGAACAAAUGUGUAAGGAACUAUGCACGGAGUGACGGUAACUAAUAAGAAAGCCACGGCUAACUACGUG